UCCCUAAUGGCUCAAAUUGUAAAGAAUCUGCCUGCAAUGCAGGAGACCCAGGUUCAAUUCCUGAGUUGGGAA
rnacentral:tRNA from 1 species